CACGUCUUCUCAAGACUUCUACUGCUGGGUGCUCAGCAGAGAGAAAUAGCUCCUCAUUCAGAUGCUUUGAAUGGCCAUCUGAUGGGGCCUGCUUCUCUCUGCUGAUGGUUGUAUGAAACACUUGGAUGCCCAGGGAGGCGAUAGAGCGCCCAUCCUGGGAGGUGGUCAGGAACCAUGGAGAUGUGGCACUGAGGGAUAUGGACAGAGAUACACACUGAGCCAGCGCUCCUCAAAGUGAGAGCAGAGGAGCACCAAUGGAGAGAUCAGAUUUGGAAAACCUGCAUCGCUACUGCUUUUUUCUUGUUGCAUUGGCA
ensembl:lncRNA